CUGGUCCCAAUGCCUGAUGGGUUCCCCUGGGAUAUUUUGCCCAGGGCUCGUUCCGGGGGACAGGUCGCGUGCUGAACCUUUUGGAUCCUGAGCGGACGUACCUGGAGAACCCUGGGGAUGGGAGAGCUAAGGCCCCGGGGGACCCAUCGACUCCCUUCGAGCAAGUGCGGAGCCCGGCGGAGCGUCCCGGACACCGCGUCCGGCUCCCCACUCCACGGGCCGAAUCAGCUGCCGUCUGCGCCCCCGCGCGCCGCCCCCGGGUGAGGGGCGUCCGGGGAGGUGCGUUAAUCACAAGUGAGUGCGACCUUGCAGCUGUGAUAAAUGCUAUAGAGAAGAAGCACAUUUUGCCGUGAGAGAGAUGUCACCUGACCAGGAUGGUCAGGGAGACGUUUUCUUCUGAGGAGAGCUGAGAGCUAAACAAUGACUUUGAGUUUUGGUUGGAGACUUCUGGAAAGGGCACAGGGAAAAGCAGCCAGAAAAUGGAGAACACAGAUGCCCAGCCACACCCUACAGAAAGACAGGGUGUGACAUUCCCAGGUCCAGUCCCAGCUGGUAUGAGGCUGUCCCCUGAGCCAUAAGAUGGCUGCAAACUUGGGUGCCCUGGACCUCCCCAUCCCCCAGAACUGGAAAGCCUCCUGAUAAAAGAUGCCACCAGGAGGCAGGAAUCUAACCUGCAAAUCCAUGAUCCUGGUCCUGAAACACUGUUGUCAGGUCAUCAUACCCCUCUGCCAUGAGGAGCUCGCUGGGCCGGGG
rnacentral:lncRNA from 1 species